GACGAACGCUGGCGGCGUGCUUAACACAUGCAAGUCGAACGGAAAGGCCCUGCUUUUGUGGGGUGCUCGAGUGGCGAACGGGUGAGUAACACGUGAGUAACCUGCCCUUGACUUUGAGAUAACUUCAGGAAACUGGGGCUAAUACCAGAUAGGAGCUCCUGCUGCAUGGUGGGGGUUGGAAAGUUUCGGCGGUUGGGGAUGGACUCGCGGCUUAUCAGCUUGUUGGUGGGGUAGUGGCUUACCAAGGCUUUGACGGGUAGCCGGCCUGAGAGGGUGACCGGCCACAUUGGGACUGAGAUACGGCCCAGACUCCUACGGGAGGCAGCAGUGGGGAAUAUUGCACAAUGGGCGGAAGCCUGAUGCAGCAACGCCGCGUGCGGGAUGACGGCCUUCGGGUUGUAAACCGCUUUCGCCUGUGACGAAGCGUGAGUGACGGUAAUGGGUAAAGAAGCACCGGCUAACUACGUG
rnacentral:rRNA from 1 species